GUUAGAGGCAGGUAUCCUAGUGGUUAGAGGCAGGUAUCCUAGUGGUUAGAGGCAGGUAUCCUAGUGGUUAGAGGCAGGUAUCCUAGUGGUUAGAGGCAGGUAUCCUAGUGGUUAGAGGCAGGUAUCCUAGUGGUUAGAGGCAGGUAUCCUAGUGGUUAGAGGCAGGUAUCCUAGUGGUUAGAGGCAGGUAUCCUAGUGGUUAGAGGCAGGUAGGCUAGUGGUUAGAGGCAGGUAUCCUAGUGGUUAGAGGCAGGUAUCCUAGUGGUUAGA